rnacentral:rRNA from 1 species
GACAGAGGGGGCAAGCGUUGCUCGGAAUCACUGGGCGUAAAGGGCGCGUAGGCGGGAUGGCAAGUCGGUCGUGAAAUCCCUGGGCUCAACUCAGGGGGGUCGGCCGAUACUGCUGUUCUUGAGGGAUGCAGAGGAGACUGGAAUUCCCGGUGUAGCGGUGAAAUGUGUAGAGAUCGGGAGGAACACCGGUGGCGAAGGCGGGUCUCUGGGCAUUCCCUGACGCUGAGGCGCGAAAGCGUGGGGAGCAAACGGG